UAGCCCUAUGAAAAAAGCUUCCUGGUCCA
rnacentral:piRNA from 1 species